rnacentral:rRNA from 1 species
UAGGGAAUCUUCGGCAAUGGACGAGAGUCUGACCGAGCAACGCCGCGUGAGUGAAGAAGGUUUUCGGAUCGUAAAACUCUGUUGGUAGAGAAGAACGUUGGUGAGAGUGGAAAGCUCAUCAAGUGACGGUAACUACCCAGAAAGGGACGGCUAACUACGUGCUAG